rnacentral:rRNA from 1 species
GUGGGGAAUAUUGGACAAUGGGCGCAAGCCUGAUCCAGCCAUGCCGCGUGAGUGAUGAAGGCCUUAGGGUUGUAAAGCUCUUUCGUCCGGGACGAUAAUGACGGUACCGGAAGAAGAAGCCCCGGCUAACUUCGUGCCAGCAGCCGCGGUAAUACGAAGGGGGCUAGCGUUGUUCGGAAUCACUGGGCGUAAAGGGCGCGUAGGCGGCUUUGUAAGUCGGGGGUGAAAGCCUGUGGCUCAACCACAGAAUUGCCUUCGAUACUGCAUGGCUUGAGACCGGAAGAGGUAAGUGGAACUGCGAGUGUAGAGGUGAAAUUCGUAGAUAUUCGCAAGAACACCAGUGGCGAAGGCGGCUUACUGGUCCGGUUCUGACGCUGAGGCGCGAAAGCGUGGGGAGCAAACAGG